GAUAAUCGCUGAUGAAUCAAUAUUUUCUUGAUUUCACUUAGCUUAUUGUACCGAAUUUAAUAAGGGAUUGUGCUUAAUUGUCCGGUAUUUUCUCGUUUUUGCUAAUAGUUCCUAAUUUGACCAGAAAUUCUAAUUUUAAUUAAUUUGAAUAUUCUGAACUAAUUAUUUGCAUUAUUAGUUGUAGGGAAAUUGUUGGAUAAUAUUUUGGACUUUAAAAAAAAUGUCACAUCAAUUUUAUUCUUAGCUUAAAUGAGAGAGGAGGUGUGGAGUUUAUAUUUGGAGGUGCAUGCGGUAAUUAUUUACUUGGACAUAAGGAAGGGUUGAUUUCAAUUGGGCUGCUGUCACGGUUUUGGAAAAUAACACACGACCAUGGAAAAGAGAAAGGGGCUAGACUAGGGAUGGCAACGGGUCGGGUUCGGGUCGGGUAGUGUGAUAUCCGAACCCGACCCGCAUGUAAAAAAGUGUAUAUGUACCCGCCCCGUUAUCCGCCGGAUACCCGCGUAAAAAAAAUCCACGGAUUUUUUUCAACCCGCGGAUACCCGUUGGAUACCCGUUUCAACCCGCAAUUUUUUAAAAUGGAGAGAGUCCAAACUUUCUUCUUAGGUUUUCUUUCCUAAUCUUUAAGAUGGGCCAAGCCCAAACCUUUCUAGGGUUCUCCUUUUCCCCUUGCCCUCCAUCUUCUGCGCAGCUAACAACAAUAACCCUCAACCCAGAGCUUGAAUCUUCAUCAGAACAUUCGAAACUUGCAAGAGGAAACAUAAUCACUGAGUCAUUAGCCUCUCACCACAGAAAGCCCCAAAUCUAUGAACCCUAACUGCAGGGAAAACCCCAAGAUCGUGUUCUGCCUCAAUCUUCUUCGAUCAACAAAAUCGCGAGCAUCAUCUCCCCUUUCAACGGCCACCAUGAAUCCCAUCACCUCUACGGCCGCCGCAGACUCAGUCAUCACCGUCGUGCGCGCCUCGUCGAUGCACUCCAAGUUGAAAAGAAGAGGUUGAACGAUUGAAAUAAAAAAUCAAUCGGUAGAGAAGUGUUUGAUCGGUGGGAAAGGUGGAAAAAGGUGUUUUACUCGGUGAAAGUAUAAGAAGUGGUAGAAGAGAUGCGAAUUUGUGAGGAUGCCUGAUUUGGAAUAGUGAGACGCGAAAUAGGAGCAUUAAACGUUUGCCUCUGCCUAAAAGUUUCUUCUUUUUUUUUCAACAGUGGAAGAAGCAUUCAAGGAAGUAGGAGCAUUGUAGCAGGAGAUGAAAAAACAUGUUUUGUUUGUCGUUACCGUUGAUAGUGGUGGCAAUGGAUAUGUUGUUGACAGUGGUGGGAAUGGAUGUGUUGGUGGAGAGGAAACUUCUAAGGGAACGCUUCAAAGAUCUCAACAAUAUUUCAUUAUCAAUUCAAAGUUGAAUUUACAAAGGAUGAAGCUCUCUUUUUAUAGAUGAAGGAGAACUUCUAAGACGUGUUAUGC
rnacentral:lncRNA from 1 species